UGAUUUCUUUUACGCAGUAUACUUAACUCAGCGUUAUCAUGAAGAUGUAAUAUUUAAAUAUGGAGGAAUUACGAAGAAUUUCGAAAACUUGAUUGCAUUUAAAGUGGAUAUUUAAAUGAAUGAAUUAAGAUUUUUGAAACAUUCUGUUCUAUGCAUUCGUCUUCAUCGGUGCGCGUUUUUUAAAACAUUGUUCCGCUGGAAAAAUGAAAGUCGACUGUUUUGGAUGUUCAGCUGGAACAGCUGUUGUAAUUUCGCUUCUCAUUAAUUUGAUUUCAAAUAAUAUUCUGUGGAAUGGCAUCGGCUCAGAGUUCCUAAAACAUAAACGUCAGUAUUAAAUAUACUCGUAAACUGCAAAUAUACAGUCAUCUUAUCUGAAAAUGUAUUCCAAUUUCAUUCGUACUUCAUUCUACUCCAAACAAUUCUAUCGGUGUUUGCGAUAAUAAUUGUGACCAUGUUCAAAAUUCAUUCCUCCAGUGUUACCGCUCGUAUAAUCAAAAUUCAAGUAUGGUUACUUGGUUUCAUUGUGGCUUCAUUAAUAUACGAAAUCGUGGUCAUAUUCUUAUUCUCAGUUGGUACAAUGGUUUUGCAAGAAGACUUUGAUGUAAACAAACAAGCAACUGCAUCAUUUCAUGUUUUUAUAUUCAUGCUACCGAUUUUCUUUUUGGGUCUCAAGUUACAUGCUGCUACUGUGACGUUUGGUUAUAGACUUGAAAUAUCUGAACAAGAACAAAUAUCGAUAGAUGUUAGUAAUGAUACUGAAAACGGAUAUUUUCAUUCUAGACAACAGUUGGUUACUUCAAGCUCAUCUUCCACAGUUACUUCACUUCCUUCUUAUGAUACAUUGAUGAAAUCUGAUCACGUGCAGGAAUCUGAUUCGUUGACGCCACCACCUCGUUAUUCAAUCAUUUUCAACUAGUACAUACAUUUAUUUCAGUGCAGUAGUCAUUAAGAAAUUAGUAGGUACUCACACAUGUACCUAGUUUAUGUUAUAAGUUUUGACUAGUGAAGUUGACCCAUUUGACCCCCAUUUUUACGUAUCCGUUGAAAAAGUUGGACAACCCCUUUUUCACUCGGUGAAAUAAACUCAUCACAAAAAAAAUCAAAAUUCAAAAAAAUAAACGAAUUUUAAUUUUUUUGCUAUGAGUGUGAUUUUUAGUGACUUUUUACAUGAAAUACGUCAGAAAGAGGCCAAAAUAAGGCAACUGAAUAAAUUGAAACUUUUUUGAUGCAUGGAAUUGAAAAUUGAACUUUUUCGAAUUUCGAUUUUUUGUGAUGAGUUUAUUUCAUAGAUUGAAAGGGUUUUUUGAAUUUUUACAACGGAUACGUAAAAAUAGAGGUCAAAUGAGUCAACUUCACCAGUAAACACUUUUUUUUUCAUGUUUUAAAUUAAAAAAUCACAUUUUUUCGCAAA